UACACACCGCCCGUCGCUCCUACCGA
rnacentral:ncRNA from 3 species